GCAAUUUUUUUGGUACCUCGAUAUAAAAAUUCUUGGACUUGGCUCUAGGCUGACAUGACAAGUAAUCAUUUGCAUCAUAUAGUUUUUUCACUGGUUCCUAAUUGGCCUAUUAACAAGGUAUGAGAAACAGCCAAAACGUUGGCUUUAGAGCUAGACAUUCACGUAGUGGCUUUGCUAGCAAAGUUUAUGGCCCUUAGACGUGUAGGAUCUGAUUUACAAGUGCAGUUAACUAAGUGACUUUAAUUCUGUCUGUGAUCUCUCAGAUACAAGCACAGAAAUGCAGUCGGAUGUGUGUGUGUGUGUGUGUGUGAGAUUCUGCUAGCUCCAAGCACCACAGCUCACGUGACCUGUGUAGUGCCGUAUGUAGCUCUGAGAAGGCAAGAGAAAGCUCCCUCUAUGUCUGCACAACUUAAGAUUACUUUUCUUUCCAUGUACUGUGUGGCAAAACCUGAAGACAAUACUGCACUGUUUGACACUAUAUGUAUAUAUGCACAUGUAAAUAUUUACAUGCGGUUUGCAACAUUUUAAAGUGUAUUUUUUUAAGGAAAAACUGUCAUACACUCAUGUUUUCACAGAGUAGGAAGUAUUUUAGAUUAGGUAUUGGUACUAUGUUUAUCUUAUACCUGUAAAAUCAGCAAGCUGGUCAUAUGGUACUGCAAAGCCCUUGCACCUGCAGAGCUUUCUGGUUGUCUCCAUCCCUCCUGGAUUUUUCCUGCAGCUGCAGUGUUGUUUUCCACUGCUAUGUUUUGCCUUUGACUAGAAGUGCUUUCAGAGUAUUUGAUUUUACUGAUAAGGAUGUAAAAGUUGAUUCAAAAACACAGAUAUUCAAAGUAGGAACCAUGGCUAUGCUCAACAGGACCAUUACACCGUUACAUUAAAUGGAUAAGUACUUCCAAGCAAAUCAAACUACUCCCUCGCAUGGAUAUAUUGGUUAUUUAUCUCUUACGCUUCAUUUUUAAAGUAUGUUUAUUUACUUCUAAGCAAACAUGCAGUUUUAAGUGGUCACCACUUUUUCCUGCAGUUGCAGGGAGUGAACUUACCUCUGACUUUUUAAUGGAGUAUUUUUAUGGUUUUAUGCAAUCUUAAAAUAAAGAACUCUCUGGGUU
rnacentral:lncRNA from 1 species